UAACACGUGAGCAACCUGCCCCUGACUCUGGGAUAAGCGCUGGAAACGGCGUCUAAUACUGGAUAUGUGACGUGACCGCAUGGUCUGCGUUUGGAAAGAUUUUUCGGUUGGGGAUGGGCUCGCGGCCUAUCAGCUUGUUGGUGAGGUAAUGGCUCACCAAGGCGUCGACGGGUAGCCGGCCUGAGAGGGUGACCGGCCACACUGGGACUGAGACACGGCCCAGACUCCUACGGGAGGCAGCAGUGGGGAAUAUUGCACAAUGGGCGAAAGCCUGAUGCAGCAACGCCGCGUGAGGGAUGACGGCCUUCGGGUUGUAAACCUCUUUUAGCAGGGAAGAAGCGAAAGUGACGGUACCUGCAGAAAAAGCGCCGGCUAACUACGUGCCAGCAGCCGCGGUAAUACGUAGGGCGCAAGCGUUAUCCGGAAUUAUUGGGGCGUAAAGAGCUCGUAGCGGUUUGUCGCGCUGCCGUUGAAAUCCCGAGGCUCAACCUCGGGCCUGCAGUGGGUACCGGCAGACUAAAGUGCGGUAGGGGAGAUUGGAAUUCCUGGUGUAGCGGUGAAUGCGCAAAUCAGGAGGAACCCCGUGGGGAAGGCAGAUCUCUGGGCCGUAACUGACCCUAAGAACCAAGGGUGGAAACAAACAGGCUUAAAUACCCUGGUAG
rnacentral:rRNA from 1 species